CACACUCCCUCUCCUUGUUUUUACUUUUUUACUUUCUGUCGCCGGUGUUUCAGACCAGCAUCAAACUAAACCCCUAACCUCCAGUGUGACUCAAGAAAAAAGAAGUCUUUACUAAUGUGUGGAUAAGAAGAACAUUUCAACAGAAUGGGUUCCAAUCACAGCAGUGACACACUCCAUUGUAAUCGCUACCUGAAAGGACAGGGUCCUCAAUCACUGGCACAACGAGUAAAUGAUGGGAUGAGUUGGAGGAACACAUCAUCAAAUUUUUAUCAACCUGAAGGCAAAAUGAGUUUGGAGAUUCUCCACAAAAAAAUGCCAGGUUUCCCUGAUGCCAACACACUGAAGAUCACUUAUAUUUUUGCUAAAGGCAUACAGACAGAGAAACACCCCCACCCUGGCCAGCCAUAUGCACAGAGACGGGUGUGUACAUACCUCCCUGAAAACCAUGAGGGGCGGACUGUCGUCACUUUGCUGGAGAAGGCCUUCAAUCAGCAGCUUUUGUUUACCAUUGCUACCAAUGAAAGUGGAGAAGAUGUUAUCACCCCAGCCUCUGUUCCACUAAAAAUACAACAUGAAGAAGAAGGAAGCAUAAUGUAAGUUAACAUUAUUGAGUUGAUAUCAGACAAUGUUGGGGUCCAAUUU